rnacentral:rRNA from 1 species
AGUCCUAUAACGAGCGCAACCCUUAUGCUUAGUUGCCAGCACGUAAUGGUGGGAACUUUAAGCAAACUGCCUGCGAAAGCAGUGAGGAAGGAAAGGAUGAAGUCAAGUCAUCAUGGCCCUUAUGUCUAGGGCUACACACGUGCUACAAUGGCGUAUACAAUGAGUCGCUACCUAGCAAUAGGAUGCCAAUCUCUAAAGUACGUCUCAGUUCGGAUUGAGGUCUGCAACUCGACCUUAUGAAGUUGGAAUCGCUAGUAAUCGCGUAUCAGCAAUGUCGCGGUGAAUACGUUCUCGGACCUU